ensembl:lncRNA
GGUCUUUUUUUAACAGACUUAUUCUUGUUUAAAUUGGCCUUUUUAUAUAAUGUUGCCUCUUGCUUAAAUUUGACUCUUUAUCUAAAGUUCUUUUUAUUCUUCUUUUUAUUUAAACUUGUCUUUUUUAUUUAAAAUGUACUUUUUUAGGUGCCUUCCCCUUCAGAGCCAUUGUAUAUGUGUGUUGCCUGUUUGUGUCUCGCUGUCUUGUUCUGAGUAUUACUGUCUGUCUCUUGACUCUAUAUGCUUUAUUCUGAAGAUUCCAAGCUUAUGGAGGAAAAGUUCCAAAGUUUCAAGCUGGUGCUGGCAGGGAUUAUUAUACCAGUAUAAUUGGUUUCAGGGCCACCACAUAGUCUCACUUGCUGCCUCUGAAUCUAUGGACAUCCUGUGACACUCUGGCAAGUGCCCCCAGGCAAGGGCAAGAGGGAAGGAACGAGCAGUGAAACAACCAUGUCUGAAGGCAUGUAUGAGGGGGGCAGCCAGCACUGUAGGGAGAGCUCUCCCCAAACUUUGUAGCCUGGGCCGUUUGGAUGAUGAGGAGGAGGAGUACGAUAAAGGUUAUGAGGAAUUUGAGCAGAUGCUGGAACAGGCUCAGCUUGUAGAGGGUCCUUGCUCAGACUUCAUGGGUUGCUGUAUCAGCUCAGGCAAUAGGAUGGCAUAGCUUUGCCUGUCACAUAUUUUCAGACAGUCAGUCGGAUGAGCAUUUGUCAGCAUUUAUCAUCUUAUAUCAUCAGUUUGAAUCACCUCACACAUUACUGAGUUCAUCUCCAACACUGAGAUCAUCAACAAAGGAAAAUAAGAGAAAUUGGCCUUACAUGAUUUUUCUCAGAGAUGUUUAUAUUCAUCCCACACAAUAAUGGCCUUAUACACUAUGUUAUACCUCAGGACAUAUUGGCACACACAUUCUAUGUGGGGCAUGUAGCAAAUAAGAUGUGCAGUGGGUAAUACAGAUCUAUAAGGUUGAUUGAGGUUGUAUAUAGGUUGAUUGAAAGAUGUAUAAGAUAAAGAAUGUGUAAGGCACAUAGUGUAUACUUUUCUGUGAAUGAAGCCAUGGACUAUGUAAGCAGAACAGCCUAGAAGAAAGAAUUAAAGAUAUAUAUAUAUAUAUAUAUAUAUAUAUAUAUAUAUAUAUAUAAUUCUUUCUUUAAUUCAAUUUUAGUAAUACUUUAAAUUAUUUGUUUAUCACAGAGAGACGUAAAAUGUAUUCGAUUAUUUAAUAAAUGUAAAUUUAAGAGCUGCAGAGACUACUAAUUUUCAUUAAUUCACUAAUUGUAUAUUUUAAGCCAGUUUUGACAUUUGAUUUAUCCCAUAUGAAUUAUAAUAAUUGAAAUCAGCAUGAAUGUGUUAAAAUAUGAAUAUGAUACAGAGAGGAUGAUUUUUUUCAAGUUAAACUAAGGUUUUGAAAUUACUUGAAACUAGUGUUUCACACUUCUUUAUAACAUGUUAAAAAGAGAAAUCACUAUGCAUUCAAUAACAUCAAUACUGUUUGGCAUAGUGAGAAUACAACAAUGCUCCUAUAUUGUUAAAGCCACAUUGGUAAAUCUUUAAAGUUUAAAAAAAGUUGGUAAAAUUUAGUUUAAUUCUUGAUUGUACUCUUUGAUUUUGUUUUUCUUUUCUACACUUUGUCUGUAUGUAUGUAUGUAUUUGUGUGUAUAUGUAAGUAUAACGAAAAAUGAGAAUGGUAUUGUUCCUAUGUGACAGGAAGUAUGUUUUAUUUAUCAAUAAAAAUAUUUUGGAGAAAAAAAAAUUGAAUUCACAGAGUAAAAAUAUUAAAAGAUAUUCUUUAAUUCUGUAAUUGUCUCAACAUAGGCAUAUAGGCCUAUGUUUAUAUUACAUUUUUACAAGAUACCAGGUUCCAUAGUAUAUUUGGAAAUUUUUCAUAUGAAGGCUUUUCCCAAGACAUCAUACAACACCUACAUUACCAAAUAUAUCACAGUCACAGCUUGCUUUUUCUUCUUAAAAAUGUCUAUUCUUUCCAGUUCCAUAAAAUGGAGGGGGGGCACUGAAAUGGUAUUUGUUUUAUGGACAAAACAUGACAAUAAACUUCAGUUCAUGGACGCAUGUAUCUAAUGGUUGGUCUGAGUUUUUCCCAGUGUAAAGGCUCAAUUAUUUGGCCGCUGAUUCACUGUUGCUCAUAUCAAAGACGCUAUUUUUCCAAACCAAAGAUACAAAUUCUUCGUCUGAGUCUUUCUCCCUGUUUUAAUUUUUUUUUGUUUUUUUUUUUUACCCUGAACAGGGUAACAGCAAGUUUGUGGAGUAUAAAUGUUAACUUCUUUAUAUACUUUCUUCAAAGAAACCAAGUCAAAGUUUUUGAUCAUUGUUCUUCCAGUUAUUAAUCAUUAUGAAACAAGAUAUUUUAUUCACAUUUCUCACACUGUCCAUUUAAACCUUGUCAGGCUUUCACUGUUUAACCAUAUUAGUAGUGUUUAAAACAGCAUGUUAGGUUAUUGAUUAAUUUUUUUUAAAAAAUAGCCAGCAUGAUCUCAUCCAUUGUCUAUGCAUGUACUUAAGGUACUUACAUACUUAAUGUAUGCAGGAAAAUGUGUAAAGGAUUCUUUGUCUUUAUAAAAAAAUAUAUCUGUACAACCGCAAAACAAAUGACGCGAAUGAAUAAAACUUAUGCAUGUUAGUCCAGUGUAAAUAUUUUACAUAAUUGUAACCAUUGAUAUGAAUUUGUGAGAUUUGAUUGAUUGCUUGCUAUUGACUUACUAGUGAGGGGCCAUGUCAUACCAUGGCAAUCAUCCUUUUUUUCCUCUUGUGUGAAUGUAUUUAAAUGCACGUGUCUUUGGGGGUGAGGGGAGAAAAGAAGGGUGGUAGCUGGUGUCUAAAUCUUGUAAAAUGGUUUUCCUAAUAUGGGCUGUCUCUCCUGAGACUCCUCCUCUUCCCUAUAAGUGGGCAGGACUCUAUCCUCUUAUUCAGCCAGUGAUGACACAGCUACGACUCACUUCCCCAUUAAUUGGCUGAAACCAGUUCUUACAGGAACUGUCGGUGAUAAAUGUGAGAGUUCUCAGAAAUCAUUCAUUUCUUCCUUCUUCACAGCUAAGGGACACUCCAGGGCAGUGUGGAUGUUUCUUUGUGUUAUCAUUUCUUAAGGACCUCAAUUUUUAGAUCAUUUAUAUGUAUUUUUGUGAUUCUCUCUUGUUAUUAUUUUUCUUCAUUGUUUUUUUUUUGUUUGUUUGUUUUUUUUUAAAUCUGGUAACAGUGUUCUGUCUGUGGUAAAGGUUUUAUAUUGCUUAGCCCUCCUUCUGGGAGAAGUAGAGAUAGAAGAAGGUAACCUUUAGCGUGGAUGAGUAAAAUUGGUGACCUACUUCCCCCCUUUCUUGUCUUCUUAAGCUCUGUUACGCAGUUUGUUGCCUCUCUCCUGAAGACGAACCUUGAGGUGUUGGAGCAACACCGGCAGUGAGUAUCACAACUUUUUUUCUCUAUCUGUUCUACCGUUCUUCUUCUAUCACUGUUUGCUAAUGCAUUGUACAUGCAUAAUUUAUUAGCUAAUUGUAGUGUUGCGGUGGGUUGGUGCUGUCAUUCAUGGUGGAAGAGUGUGGUGUGGCAGAGUUCAUUGUGUGUCUAGGGUUAAAAUGGAGUGGUGACUGUGGCCUGUUCAGGGUCUGGCUCCUGAGGGAUGCUGAGUCAUGCUCAGCAGGUGGAGCUGCUAUGACUGAAGUGUACACUCCCCCACGUCACUCACAACCCCCACCCUCCAUCCCCCUUCCCCUUAGCAAGCGAACCCUGUUGAACUCGAUGCAGGCUGAUCGAGACAGGAGGGGCCCCCAGGGGCUGAGAGGGUGGGGGAAUUCUACUCCCAAUUCCUGCCACUAACAAUCUCUCACAACUCUGUAGAAGCUGUGGAAACAAAGACAUUACACCUUUUAGCUCACUGCUCUUCUAGGUUGGCCUGCUUUUGACUACUUCCGUUUUUUGUUUUUUUGUUUUUCACCUGAAUCGAUUUCUUUCUUGUAACUUAAUCUUCCUGGUUUGAAAAGCUUUGGAGCAAAAAGCUAUUUAACUGGUAAUAAGAAAUACCGGCUUGCAUCAGAUGCAUCUAGAAGGAAAAGGGGAUGGUGAAAAUAUUGAACAUUAAAUGAGAUUUUAAAUUACUCUGUUCCUUAAGGAUUGUUUGUUUGUGUGUGUGUGUGUGUGUGUGUGUGUGUGUGUGUGUGUGUGUGUGUGUUCUCUCUCCAUUGUGCAGGAUGAAAACUCGCUCUCCUGGGUGUUUCAGAAGGUGGUGACCAUCUUGUGUGUGUGUGUGUGAGUGUGAAUGAGUGGCAGAGAAAUAUUCAGGGGGUAAAAUUAAAAACUUUGUGUGGGUGUAGUUGUGUGUCAAAAGAGUGAGAAUGAAAUUUUCACCAGGUUGUUUCACUCACAUACUACCUGAGCCUGUCUGUAUUUCUCAAAUUAAAAAAAAAAAGAAGAAGAAGAAUUUUUGAGUCUCUUUGUUCUCCUUUGUACCUGUGAAAAGUAAUUGGCUUCUUACAGAGUUUAAUAUAGUAAAUGGGGCUGGAGAGAUGUAAGGUUGCAGCAUUGUGUUUUGGCAGAACAGCUUUAUUUAAAAGUGCAGGAACUUAUUGACCAUUGAGGCCUUCAGAUUAUGACAUCUAGAUAUAUUUUAUUCUCAAUAAAUCAUACAUAUAUCUCAAUAAAUAAGUCAUCAUUUACAUUUGGGUUAUGAAAUAGUGUUGGUGCUAAACACUGAAACUGUAAUAAAUAUCAGUGAAUCAUACUGUAGUUUCCAGUAGUUACUGUUUAAUUUCCAUAGACUGAGAAACAACUUGUUAGUCAGACCAGGGCUUCACAAUCCUGGUAAUAUGUGCAAUCAUAUGAACAUGAAUUUUUCAGAGAUUGUGGAUGAGUGGAUGGAGGUUCACUAUUCUUGAGCAGUUCACCUUUUUGUGUAUGUUUUAUCUGACUGAGAUCACAACUGUGCUUAUAUUGACAGCAGAAUACUGACUGUUGUUGGGCUGUCACUGUUUAUAUUAAUGAGACUGGCUGAUAGUAUGUCUGACAUUGUGACUACUGUUUUGUGAUAUUGAGGGUUUCAAAUUUAGGUGUAUGUUGUAUAUCUUAUAGAGAUCUUCUCUAAAAUACUCCCUGAUCAGAACCGUGCUUAUAUUGGAAGCAGAAUACUGAUUAUUGAUGGGCUCUCACUGCUUAUGUUAAUGAGACUGGCUAAUAAUAUGUCUGAUAUUGUGACUACUUUUUUUAUGUUUUUCUUUAGGUAAUGCAAUUCAUUCAGAAGUUUCUAAACAAUGUUAAAGAUUUUUGUGUUCUUUUAUGCCUGGUCUUGGCACUCAUAAUAAGGUAUAAUGGGUGCCAAGACCCAAUAUUAAUUAAUGCAAUAUGAUGUAAUUUAUUUUUUGUUCCUUGAUUAUACAAAAGCUUCUUUGCCUCUUUUUUCAUUUUGUAAUUUUUUUUUAGAACUGCUUGUGAAAUGUUUUCUCCCUCAUCUGUGCUUUUUUGUAACACUGCCCUGGUAUGCUAGCCUGGAAGCUUCAGGCAUAUAAAAAAAAAUGGAACAGUGUGGGGUUUCUUUGCUGUUACCUUAGCUGAACCCUGGGCUGAACUCAAUGCACUGUACUGCUGGCAGGAAGGAUAUGAAGAAGAGAGAGAAAGGGGGAUACAAGCAAGAGGCUAAGCAUGUUCAGCUAGCGGACAUGCUCGUCAGUGAAUGGGAAGCACAUUUUGAACCGCUAUAACAGGACAUAUUUGGUUACAAAAUAACAGAAUAUGGCCUCCAACAACCACCUCCUACCAUUCCUCUUUGUCUAUGGUAAGUGUUCUUUUCUUUCCUUUCCAUUUUAUUCUUCAUGUGUGGAUCAGGCAUUUCCAUCCAUCUCUCCCAGUGUGUCAG